ACCUUUCACAGCAGCAGUCAGUGUAGUACACGUGAACGUGGAGUGAUGAUGCGCGUCAGGGAUAACCAUUACCAGGAUAGUAUUAGUGUUUCAUCCGCAUGGAAAUACGAAAACAACAAAACGGCAAUGUGUUGCCGGACUCACCUGGAAGAACGAAAAUUGGCUCUCCACAAAUCUAAAAUUCAUUGUGUUCUUCAAUAAUAAGGUAAGUGUGACCCAGCUCAUGGUGCUUCAGUUCACCAGCAGGAUACUCGGUAAGUGUACAUUUUCUUGUUUCAUUUUAAAUGACCAUAGCUCCUGUGCUACAACCUUCUGAAUAGCGGGCUACCUAUGCAAACGGGGAUUAUUAAGUGUUUGGGUGUUGGGCUGGAGCUCGUCCUGACAUCUGGUAGGCACUCUCCGCUAUUAUUACUGGCGUAAACUCCUGUUAUCUCUGGGGAGCAUGGGUGUACACAGAAAUAUUUUAAAAUUUCGUACAAAGCAUUAGCCCAUGUAGGAAAUGGGUUAUCCAGAGUGCUAAUUAUGUCGAGGUACUGUAGUAAUAUUAGAAGACCAGAUUUAACGAUGUACUAACAGAUUUAAGAAAAUUGCAUGCACGCUCAGUCACAAACUGUUGUUACGAUUUAAGUUGCUGAAAAUAUUUAUUUUGCUGCUGUUACUUAAUGAUGCAUGCAAUAGCAGUUCAAUACUUGCAUGUAUACAUACUUUUUUUUAUAUUUUAUUUAAAAAACAGUAUACAUGUAUGGUAUACAUAAUUGGUUUAAACAAGAAACGUGAAGCAUUAUAUAAGACAACAACAUAUAUAUAACUAAAACAGAGGACAACCUGAACAUACCUUAAACACAAAAUAACUAUAUAAACCAAAACCUGACACUCUUAUUCAUAUUGUGUAUGAAAUUUUAUAUACAAAAACAAUGUCAUACAAACUAAUGCAUUGCACACUCAAUGGUACUAUGAUUAUAUAAAAUUACCAUCAAAAACCUACAUGACUCUUGAUUUUUUUUUUUUUUUA